ensembl:snoRNA LOC120099472 small nucleolar RNA SNORA48
UGCCCUGGCAAUGGGCAAAGAGACACCUCGGUGGUGGUGGUGUCCUCAUGUCAGUCAGGCUCAGAGCAGACGGCAGUCCUUUGUUUAUCCUAGCUUGAUGCCUGGCUUGGUGGCCAAAGUUGUUUUAUGCUUAAGACAUAUAA